rnacentral:rRNA from 1 species
UUCUGCCCUAUCAACUAGUUGGUAAGGUAGUGGCUUACCAAGGUGAUAACGGGUAACGGGGAAUCAGGGUUCGAUUCCGGAGAGGGAGCCUGAGAAACGGCUACCACAUCCAAGGACGGCAGCAGGCGCGCAAAUUACCCAAUCCAGACACUGGGAGGUGGUGACGAGAAAUACCAGGUCGUUCCCAAAAGGAUUCGACACUGGAAUGAGUUUAAUUUAAAAAUUUAAAUGAGUAACAACUGGAGGGCAAGUCUGGUGCCAGCAGCCGCGGUAAUUCCAGCUCCAGUAGUGUAUCCAAACGUUGCUGCGGUUAAAACGCUCGUAGUUGGACAAGAGAGUGACUUGGCGCGGGCGGGGAGUGUGAUUGCUUCGAUGUCUUGUCUUGUUGCAGCUGAAGCAGCUUGUCUUGCGAUUGUGAGCAGGUUGUGUAGGUUGUGCUUGAUGCAGCAUAGGGGUGCACUUGUCGACCAUGCAGCCAGGUCCCUUGUAAUGAUUCGUGAGAAUGGUACAUGGUCUUAAAUGUAUCGUGUAUUGUGUCUUACGUAGUGUGCCUUGAAUAAAUCAGAGUGCUCAAAGCAAGCUAUCGCUUGAAUGUUAAUAGCAUGGAACGAAUGUGUUGUGAGAGUGUGCUGCUGGGAGUCACUUGUGAUGACUGGUAGUACACAGCACCAACCGCGAAGCGGAGCAUUGGUUGCCGACUUCGGGUGAGGAUUAAGAGGGGCAUUUGGGGGCAUUAGUAUUUGGCCGCGAGAGGUGAAAUUCUUGGACCGGCCAAGGACUAACAAGUGCGAAAGCAUUUGCCAAGGAUGUUCCCUUUAAUCAAGAACGAAAGUGAGAGGUUCGAAGACGAUCAGAUACCGUCCUAGUUCUCACCGUAAACGAUGCCAACCCGGGAUCAGUUCGGAUGUAAAUCAUUUGGAUCCAGGUUGGUCCCCCUGGGAAACCUUGAGUUUUUAGGUUCCGGGGGGAGUAUGGUUGCAAGGCUGAAACUUAAAGGAAUUGACGGAAGGGCACCACCAGGGGUGGAGCCUGCGGCUCAAUUUGACUCAACACGGGAAAACUCACCUGGUCCGGACAUCGAUAGGAUUGACAGACUAAUAGAUCUUUCAUGAUACGGUGGGUGGUGGUGCAUGGCCGUUCUUAGUUCGUGGAGCGAUCUGUCAGGUUUAUUCCGGUAACGGACGAGACCACGGUCUUCAUUUGGGGAGCCGAACGACAGGUGCUGAUGGUCGUGGCAGCGGUGCUGGUGUCAACUCGUUGGCUCUUGCGCCGCUCUCGUGAUCGUUGGCAUUUGCACUUUUGGUUCGCGUGCAGUAUUGUGCGUCCCUAUGGAGAGACAGCCGGAUUGUAAGGCGGAGGAAGCGUGGCAAUAACAGGUCUGUGAUGCCCUUCGAUGUUCAGGGCCGCACGCGCGCUACAAUGAUAACGACAGCGAGAGUCUGGACUGAAAAGUUCUGGGUAAUCUUUUUAAUCGUUAUCGUGAUGGGGAUUGAGCAUUGUAAUUAUUGCUCAUGAAAUAGGAAUCCCUUGUAUACGUGUCUCACUUAGGACACGUAGAAUGCGUCUCUGCCCUUUGUACACACCGCCCGUCGCUACUACCAAGUGAAUGGUGUCAUGAUGUCUUGGGACUGGACGUUGUUGGCAGUGAAAACUGCGGACGAUGCUAGAAGCAAGCCAAAAUGGCGCAAUUUCGAGGAAGUAAAAGUCGUAACAAGGUUUCCGUAGGUGAACCUGCGGAAG